rnacentral:lncRNA from 1 species
GCCUUAACACGCCCAUAGAACUUGGACUUCUCCUGUGUUGUCUGGAAUCUACCAUGGCCAAACUUGGAGGAUGUAUCAAUAAACUUGAGCUUAAUCUCCUCCAAAGCAACCCUAGAUGUCUGGUUCAACAAUGAUUGUCUCAAGGUCACAACUCUCUUCUUUGGUCCCACGCAGCAUCCUUUUAUCAUCAAAUAAUCUUCCUUCACCACACCAUAAUGGGGGAAUCCUCCCAUUGGAGUGAUAUCCUUUUCAGUCCUGUUAUUUGUGAAACAGAUUAGCCAAUUUCGAUGGGGCAAAUUUACAAUAACAACAAUAACCUCCUACGAAUUGCUAGAUCAAGACGAAUGAUAUUAAUAUAGGACAGUGAAAAAAAGGCAUUAAGAAUGUUAACCUGUCAUAUUCAGUAAUUGCAGUAUGAGAAUCUUGGCCACUCUUCCCAAGCUUGUAGAUUUUCUUGUUCAUCUCAGUACGGUGAUGGUAACCAUUCUGUCCAGCCCUAGCAACAGUAAAUGACACCCUAGCUGGAUGCCAAGCACCAAUACAUGCCACCUUCCUUAGACCACGAUGGGUCUUGCGGGGCAGGCGGGUCACACCCCAACGAGUAACCACACCUUCAUAUCCCUUACCCUUGGUUACACCAAUAAUAUCAAUCAUCUCAUCCUUUUGGAAAACAGCAUCAAUAGGUAUCUGCUUCUCAAAGAAACUGUAUGCAAAAUCAACCUUCUUGGCAACAUCCCCACCAUUUACUUGAAUCUCCAUCAGAUGGGCUUUCUUCUGCUUCAACCCUUUCAUCUUUCUUAUCUGCAGAGUCAAUAGUGCAGCAAAUGUGAAGAGUUAAAGAUUAAAGAAGAGCACAUACAAGUUGUACUCAGAAGACCAAAACUGUGAAUCUAUACAAGGAUCAGCAAUCCAGCAGUCUUAAGGUGCUACUAAAUUGAUGAGUAAUUAUAUCUCAUUAGCAGAACUGAAUACACAAGGGAAAAGUGAAAGUAAUUUACCUGGGUGUGCGCCAAGACUCGAAUGACCGAACAAUGCUUCUUCAGUUUCUCCAAUUGAGCUUGAAUAUCUUUCUUCCCAUCCUCAGAUUCAAACUUUUUAGAGUACUUGGUGAAUGCCUUCUUCUUCGACUUGCACCAGUUCUUGUAGAAUCUCCUCCUCACAUCCUCACUCAAAUGCUGGGCCCAGACAGUGUUCAGUGAACGGAGACCACGGGGUGUUUUCAUAUAACCCACAACCCCAACCACCACCAUAGGUGGUGUCUCUACGAUAGUAACAGCCUCACAUGUUUCUUUCUUGUGGAGCUUUGACCCUGGCUUUUCAACUUCUCUGACAAUGUGGGUCAUCCCUGCUUUGUAACCCAGAAAAGCAGUCAAUCUGCAAGGUUUUGUUGGAUCAUCUUUGGGGAACGCCUUCACUGUAAACAUCACAUAAAAGCGUUAAAAAAAAAUCAACAAUUGCACAACACUAACCAAUAUGCAAAUUGCAAAAAUAGUCAAUAUAAACAACUCACAAGUGAGUAAGAAAUCAACAUUAACAAAUAUUGAAAUAAUUUAAUUGCAAGGCACUGAAAAAAAUCAAUGCAAACACUAAAACUAAGGAAGCAACAUAGGAAGAUGACACUCUUUAUGAAAACAAAAAAAAUUCUUGUAUUAAAAUCUAGAACUGCUAGGAAAUGCGAAUAAUUCAUUUAUAAUAACAAACCAACUACCAAGGCUAGGCAUAGGCCAUCUAUCUACCCACAACUCAUGCAGCAUAGAAAAGAGGCCAUUAUUGAAAUAUCAAGGACCUAUUUACUUGUAGAAAACAGUUUUUCUUUUCAACCUUCGAAGAAUUAGAAGACUAUAGUUUUCUUUUUAUAAAGAAAACAAAGGAAAAGAUGGAAAGCAAGUUCAAUAGUGAAUGAUAGAAAAUAGUUAUGUAUUUUAAAAAUUUUUAAGAAUUAUUUGUAUCCAUUCGUAAUAAAAAAAAAAGUCAUGAUAAAUAUAUUUUAGAUCUAUUUUUUAAUUGUGUCAAUUGUUUUAUCUUAUAAUAAUAUAGUUAGUUCUCAUUACUGUAAAUAAAUGUUUUUUCCCAACUUAAUGAUGAAAAGUUAUAGAAUAAUUUGAGUCAUUAGAGGAGAACAGUUGAAAAUAGAACUUUUGUUAUAAAGAAAAAUAAUGAGGAAAAAACAUAAAGCUGAUUUCCAAAUCUUAGUCAAGUUUUGGAAAAUUGAAAAACAAAAUUUUCAAUUCUCAGAUUGGAAAAUUGAUACAUAUGCACACAAAACUUUAUUUUCCAAUUUACUUAGAACAUUAUUCCCAAAAAUUACUCCAGUUUUCUACAAGUAAGAAAGUACAAAAAGUCCUGAGAUUUUUCAUGCCAAGGAAGAAAUGACAUACAAACGGACAAACCAUACAUGAAUUUAUUUUAUCAAAAGCCCUAUUUUUACAUCCAAAAAACCGAAGACAACCUUAACUAUAGAGGAGUUAGCUAAUACUAAAAAACCACCAUAAUAUGAUCAAAACUAAACAAAAAGCAAUUUAGGCAACAUCAAUUACUGAUAAUGAAAACAAUCAAUGCAUGACUUCAAAAAAAUCAACCAAUGCACAUUAUGUAAGGCCAAAUAUAAAUUUAAAAAGCUUCAGCAAUAAUGAGAUUAAAACAAGAAUUAGAAACCUUUUCCUCUGUGGCGCGAGGCUCUCUUCCUUGGAAGAAAUCCCAAAGAACCAUGCCGGGGGUGUUCAAACUUGCGAUGAGACAUGCUUCAACUUCAGGGUACCACUGCAACACUAUGAAUUUCAAACUUAUUUUCCUUGAAAAAGGCAGAAAAUUCACAACAACAGAAAGCAACAAAUUUUCAAAUGAUAUUUGGUUAAUCUCAAAUGCUACUACUUAUCAAUCUGCGUGUGUAUAAAACCAGAGAAACACUAUUCUCUCCAAGUGAAAAGGAUUAAAGAGGUAUUAUCCCAUAAAGGAGCUGAAAAUUGAGAUAAAGUUUCUGGAUAAAAGCAUAAUGACUAAAACACAGAUACAAAUUAAUAGAAACAUUCAAGUUUCAAUUAAAAAUAAUAAACAUUCUCAAAAAGAAGGGUAAGUUUUAAUAUUUAACAAUUAAUUUAUUAAAAAAAUACACAAUUGACAAUUUCAUUGAAAUACUAUGUAGUCAGACAAAAGUUUCUUGUAUUUGGAUCAGAUAAGGAAAAGUAAAAUCGUAAAUAAUCAAGAGAAACCAUCACAUUAAUUAAACCUGAUUGGAAGCCUCAAAACGGUUCUUUAUUCAACUUUAAAAAUCACUUAANNNNNNNNNNNNNNNNNNNNNNNNNNNNNNNNNNNNNNNNNNNNNGCCAUCAAAAUGCUACAAAGCCAAAAGGUCAUACAAUUUCAUUACUCAAUAAUCACGAAUUUCUUUUCUAGAAAAAAUGAAAUUAUAUCAACCCUUGACCUCUAAGCAUUUGAUAUCAACACCAAACCUUAAUAAGUGAAAUGAAAUGCUUCCCAACCAAAGGCCUAUGGCAUAAAAAUUAUGCCAAAUCUCAAAGCUCAGUGGUAUUCCUUUUCAAAUACCAAUUCAUGGUAUCGGCAAAAAGAGCCAUUUCCGAGACUCCAGCCUUGAUUAUUUCAGCAAUUCUCUUAUAAAGGGAAGUCGUUUCAAAAUCACCACCACGCAAGGCGCAAUAUCAAAAUGUUUAUCAGGACAAGAGCAUUAAAAGAACCUUUAAAAAACCUCCAAAACAUCUAUUUACAAAAGAGUAAAACAAGCAGAACCCAACUCCUUCCAGAACCAAGUAGAGAUCUAAGCUAAUCAAAUAUUGAAUCAAAAAGCGCAAACCAUUAUGAAUAAAUGACAGAAAUUGUAAGGUAUUACCUCCCGAGGAGAUCACUGGACGUACUGUGUGCCGAUAAGAACCCUAGAAAGGUUUAGCUAGGCAUUUAUAUCGUUCUCGAGGUCAGAUCCAACGGCUGCAAUUAGCAUCCAAUGGGUAUUAUUGUCCGUUGGAUGGUUAGGGUUGGGGUUUUGCAAGAAGCGCCGCGGAUCCAGCAGCUAUGGAAAAUAGUAAAUGGGCUAAGAAUAUUCAAAGUUGGGCUGAUUUGUUUUUUGGUUAGUGACUUUUAAGUUAAGUUUGGGUUCUGAGCAAAUUUUAAAAUGGUAUUUAGAAAUUGAAAACGUAAAUCAUAAAAUACUAUUUAUUUUAAUUUUGAAUAAAAAUUAUCUAUCAAAUAUUAAAAUAAUUAGUAACUAUUAAAACAUGUAAUAUUACUAGACAUUAUUUUGAAAAUAAUUUUUUUUAUAACAAUUAUAUAACCUUCAUGUGUAUAGAUGUAAAUAAUUUUUAUCAAAAUAAGAAAUUAAAUUUAUGGGAUAAAUUAUAGUUAAUCAAACUUUAUAAUUUUUUAAUUUUGUUAUAUAUAUUUAUGGUGUCCAAUAAAAAAUGUUAAAUUUUUAUUAAUUAGACAAAUAAAAAAUGUAAGGAUCUUUCUUCUUUUCUCGAAUGUGAGUUCUAUCCUUCCUUUGCCUCUAAGAGUGAGACACAUUUUUUUAGCUACUUUUACUCGGUGAAUUUAAAAAUUAGAAAGAAAUUAUAUUUUUUCUAUAUGCAUAUUUGGAUCUUUGUUGGUUUUCUCCUAUAUUUGCUUGGGUGGUUCAUAAUGUUCUAUUUGGACACUUUAUUUUUAGAGGAAACUCUUUUCCUUUAGAGGAAACUCUUUUCCUUUAGAGGACAUAGCCCCUUCCUUCGGGGGAGUUAUGUUUUUUGUGCUCAAUUAUUAUUUUUUUGUAGUUCUUGGUCUAAAUACUCUAAAAUCUAUUAAUAAAAUUAUUUUUUUUAAAAAAUAAGUUUUACCCUCCUUUCAGAUUCAAGCUUACUCAAUCAUGGAAAUAGCCUCUCUCAUUUCCAUCGAAUUUAGGGUACUCUGAUGCUCGGAAUGGAGGUCGUUUAUCGCAUCAUCACUAGCUCAUCCUCUCCUGAAGACCUAAAACAAUCUAUAAAUUCAAGUGGGAUUUUUCUCGAUAACAAUUUGAUCGAUAAAGUUCUCAAAAGGUUCAGGUUUGGUCAUGGGAAACCCUUGCAAGCACUUGAGCUCUUUAAAUUCACUGCCAAUAGAAAAGGGUUUUAUCACACUCCGAAUUCGUUAGAUACCAUGCUUUAUAUAUGGGCAAAGUCGUCAAUUUGAUCAUAUUUGGGAUGUUUUGAUUAAAAUGAAGAGGAAAGACCCGUCUUUGAUUUCCUCACGAACUAUGCAAGUGGUUUUGGGUAGACUGUGGAAUCUUUUAGAAUGUUCAAGAAGUUGGUUCCUGUGUUUGAUACCAGUUCUUUCAAUGCACUGUUGAGACCCUGUGUUUUCUUUAACAAAGGAAUGAUGAUCCAACCAAUGCACACGCCCCUGGAAUACCGCAGGGCAUAGAGCUCCCUACUUUCUUCUAAUACAAAAGCUACUUCCGACUGGUUUGUUCUUGGAGAAGGAGCUGGUUUUGCUCCUCUUAGAAGAGCUAGAACAUGCUAAGGUAUACCAGCUUUAGGUCAGCUUUUUCUAUUUGUUUUCUUUGAGAGGGGUUUGUUUCCCUUAUGUAUGGUCAAAUGCUGAGAUAACAGAGAAGAGGAGCAAAGAUUUACCCAGAAUUCCUAGGUGGAAGCUUCACAAGGGUAGCCCAAGUAUUUCUGUAGGUUGAAUUUCACAAAUAUGAUGGGCUUUAUGAGUUUUUUAUUUAUUGUAUUCAGGCCUUGAAAAAAAAAAAUAAAUAUCUAACAAUGAACUUUAAAAACUCGCAUCUCAUCCAAAAAGGUUCAGUAAUAAUUAAAGCAGCAGAUGCAGUCACUAAGCAAACCAACAGCAUAAGCACACCUCAAAAGGUUCAAACACUAGGAGAAAAACAAAUUCUCAAACGUAAGAAGAAAAGUUUUGAUGUUCAUCCAUCCUCUCCCAUGCUUAACUAAACUCAAGCCUUAACACGCCCAUAGAACUUGGACUUCUCCUGUGUUGUCUGGAAUCUUCCAUGGCCAAACUUGGAGGAUGUAUCAAUGAACUUGAGCUUAAUCUCCUCCAAAGCAACCCUAGAUGUCUGGUUCAACAAUGAUUGUCUCAAGGUCACAACUCUCUUCUUUGGUCCCACGCAGCAUCCUUUUAUCAUCAAAUAAUCUUCCUUCACCACACCAUAAUGGGGGAAUCCUCCCAUUGGAGUGAUAUCCUUUUCAGUCCUGUUAUUUGUGAAACAGAUUAGCCAAUUUCGAUGGGGCAAAUUUACAAUAACAACAAUAACCUCCUACGAAUUGCUCGAUCAAGAAGAAUGAUAUUAAUAUAGGACAGUGAAAAAAAAGCAUUAAGAAUGUUAACCUGUCAUAUUCAGUAAUUGCAGUAUGAGACUCUUGGCCACUCUUCCCAAGCUUGUAGAUUUUCUUGUUCAUCUCAGUACGGUGAUGAUAACCAUUCUGUCCAGCCCUAGCAACAGUAAAUGACACCCUAGCUGGAUGCCAAGCACCAAUACAUGCCACCUUCCUUAGACCACGAUGGGUCUUGCGGGGCAGACGGGUCACACCCCAACGAGUAACCACACCUUCAUAUCCCUUACCCUUGGUUACACCAAUAAUAUCUAUCAUCUCAUCCUUUUGGAAAACAGCAUCAAUAGGGAUCUGCUUCUCAAAGAAACUGUAGGCAAAGUCGACCUUCUUGGCAAUAUCCCCACCAUUCACCUGAAUCUCCAUUAGAUGGGCUUUCUUCUGCUUCAACCCUUUCAUCUUUCUUAUCUGCAGAGUCAAUAGUGCAGCAAAUGUGAAGAGUUAAGGAUUAAAGAAGAGCACAUACAAGUUGUACAUGAAAGAACAGAAUCAUGAAUCUAUUGAGGAUCAGAAAUCCAGCAGAGCCUUAAAGUGCUACUAAAUUAUUGAGUGAUGAUAUCUCAUUCACAAAUACAGAAAUGAAUGCACAAGGGAAAAGUGGAAGUAAUUUACCUGGGUGUGCGCCAAGACCCGAAUGACGGAACAAUGCUUCUUCAGUUUCUCCAAUUGAGCUUGAAUAUCUUUCUUCCCAUCUUCAGAUUCAAACUUCUUAGAGUACUUGGUGAAUGCCUUCUUUUUGGACUUGCACCAGUUCUUGUAGAAUCUCCUCCUCACAUCCUCACUCAAAUGCUGGGCCCAGACAGUGUUCAGUGAACGGAGACCACGGGGUGUUUUCAUAUAACCCACAACCCCAACCACCACCAUGGGUGGUGUCUCUACGAUAGUAACAGCUUCACAUGUUUCUUUCUUGUGGAGCUUUGACCCUGGCUUUUCAACUUCUCUGACAAUGUGGGUCAUCCCUGCUUUGUAACCCAGAAAAGCAGUCAAUCUGCAAGGUUUUGUUGGAUCAUCUUUGGGGAAUGCCUUCACUGUAAACAUCACAGAAAAGCGUAAAAAAAAUCAACAAUUGCACAACACUAACCAAUAUGCAAAUUGCAAAAAUAGUCAAUAUAAACAACUCACAAGUGAGUAAUAAAUCAACAUUAACAAAUACUGACAUAAAUUUAAUUGCAAGGCACUGAAACAAAUCAAUGCAAACACUAAAACUAAGGAAGCAACAUAGUAAGAUGACACUCUUUAUGAAAACAAAAAAAUGCUUGUAUUAAAAUCUAGAACUGUUAGGAAGUGCGAAUAAUUCAUUUAUAAUAACAAACCAACUACCAAGGCUAGGCAUAGGCCAUCUAUCUACCCACAACUCAUGCAGUCAGAAAAGAGGUUAUUAUUGAAAUAUCAAGGACCUAUUUACUUGUAGAAAACAGUUUUUCUUUUCAACCUUCGAAGAAUUAGAAGACUGUAGUUUUCAUUUUAUAAAGAAAACAAAGGAAAAGAUGGAAAGCAAGUUCAAUUGUGUAUGACAGAAAAUAGUUUUGUAUCUUAAAAAUUUUUUAAAAAUUAUUUGUAUCCAUUCGUAAUAGAAAGAGUCAUGAUAAAUAUAUUUUACAUCUAUUUUUUUAAAUGUGUCAAUUGUUUUAUCUUAUAAUAAUAUAGUUAGUUUUCAUUACUGUAAAUAAAUGUUUUUUCCAAACUUAAUGAUUAAAAGUUAUAGAAUAAUUUUAGUCAUUAGAGGAAAACAGUUGAAAAUAGAACUUUUGUUAUAAAGAAAAAUAACGAGGAAAAAACAUAAAGCUGAUUUCCAAAUCUUAGUUAAGUUUAGAAAAUUGAAAAACAAAAUUUUCAAUUCUCAGAUUGGAAAAUUGAUACAUAUGCACACAAAACUUUAUUUUCCAAUUUACUUAGAACAUUAUUCCCAAAAAUUACUCCAGUUUUCUACAAGUGAGAAAGUACAAAAAGUCCUGAGAUUUUUCAUGCCAAGGAAGAAAUGACAUACAAAAGGACAAACUAUACAUGAAUUUCUUUAAUCAAAAGCCCUAUUUUUACAUCCAAAAAACAGAAGACAACAUUAACCAUAGAGUUCGCUAAUACUAAAAAAACACCAUAAUAUGAUCAAAACUAAACAAGAAGCAAUUUAGGCAACAUCGAUUACUGAUAAUGAAAACAAUCAAUGCAUGACUUCAAAAAAAUCAACGAAUGCAUAUUAUGUAAGGCCAAAUAUAAAUUUAAAAAGCUUCAGCAAUAAUGAGAUUAAAACAAGAAUUAGAAACCUUUUCCUCUGUGGCGCGAGGCUCUCUUCCUUGGAAGAAAUCCCAAAGAACCAUGCCGGGGGUGUUCAAACUUGCGAUGAGACAUGCUUCAACUUCAGGGUACAACUGCAACACUCUAUGAAUUUCAAACUUAUUUUCCUUGAAAAAGGCAGAAAAUUCACAACAACAGAAAGCAACAAAUUUUCAAAUGAUAUUUGGUUAAUCUCAAAUGCUACUGCUUAUCAAUCUGUGUGUAUAAAACCAGAGAAACACUAUUCUCUCCAAGUGAAAAGGAUUAAAACAGGUAUUAUCCCAUAAAGGAGCUGAAAAUUGAGAUAUAGUUUCUGGAUAAAAUCAUAAUGACUAAAACACAGAUACAAAUUAAGAGAAACAUUCAAGUCAAUUAAAAAUAAUAAACAUUCUCAAAAAGAAGGGUAAGUUUUAAUAUUUAACAAUUACUUUAUUAAAAAAUACACAAUUGACAAUUUCAUUGAAAUACUGUGUAGUCAGACAAAAGUUUCUUGUAUUUGGAUAAGAUAAGGAAAAGUAAAAUCGUAAAUAAUCAAGAGAAACCAUCAGAUUAAUUAAACCUGAUUGGAAACCUCAAAACGGUUCAUUAUUCAACUUUAAAAAUCAAUUAAAAAAAUUUUUGAAAAAAAAGACUCAGCCAUCAAAAUGCUACAAAACCAAAAGGUCAUACAAUUUCAUCACUCAAUAAUCACGAAUUUCUUUUCUAGAAAAAAUGAAAUUAUAUCAACCCUUGACCUCUAAGCAUUUGAUAUCAACACCAAACCUUAAUAAGUGAAAUGAAAUGCUUCCCAACCAAAGGCCUAUGGCAUAAAAAUUAUGCCAAAUCUCAAAGCUCAGUGGUAUUCCAUUUCAAAUACCAAUUCAUGGUAUCGGCAAAAAGAGCCAUUUCCGAGACCCCAGCCUUGAUUAUUUCAGCAAUUCUCUUAUAAAGGGAAGUCAUUUCAAAAUCACCACCAGGCAAGAUUAUCAGGACAAGAGCAUUAAAAGAACCUUUAAAAAACCUCCAAAACAUCUAUUUACAAAAGAGUAAAACAAGCAGAACCCAACUCCUUCCAGAACCAAGUAGAGAUCUAAGCUAAUCAAAUAUUGAAUCAAAAAAAGCAAACCAAGUAGAGAUCUAAGCUAGAAGUUUAAUUAUCAUGUAUGUUUAUGAAUCAAUGACAGGAAUUGUAAGGUAUUACCUCCCGAUGAGGAGAUCACUGGACGUACUGUGUGCCGAUAAGAACCCUAGAGAGGUUUAGCUAGACAUUUAUAUCGUUCUCGAGAUGAGAUCCAACGGCUGUAAUUAGCAUCCAAUGGGUAUUAUCGUUGGAUGGUUAGGGUUAGCGUUUUGCAAGAAGAGCCGCCGAUCCAGCAGCUAUGGAAACUAGUAAAUGGGCUAAGAAUAGAGAAAGCCGACUACAUCCAGUCCAAUAUUCAAAGGUGGGCUGAGUUGUUUUUUGGUUAGUAACUUUUAAGUUUGGGUUCUGAGAAAAUUUUAAAAUGGUAUUUAGAAAUUGAAAACGUAAAUCAUAAAAUACUAUUUUUUUUAAUUUUGAGUAAAAAUUAUCUAUCAAAUAUUAAAAUAAUUAGUAACUAUUAAAACAUGUAAUAUUACUAGACAUUAUUUUGUAAAUAAUUUUUUUAUAAAUGUAAAUAAUGUUAUCAAAAUAAGAAAUUAAAUUUAUGGGAUAAAUUAUAGUUAAUCAAACUUUACCAUUUUUCUAAUUUUGUUAUAUAUAAUUAUGGUGCCCAAUAAAAAAUGUUAAAUUUCUAUUAAUUAGACAAAUAAAUCUAACCGUGGUUUUAUUUUUUUUUUUUUUUAAAUAAAGAUUCUCUCUCCAAAUUCCUUUCUUAAGUUUUAACUUAAAUUCAUUUGCUGCCUCCUGUGCGGGUGAGCAGUAUUCGGUUCAAAUCGAAAAAAUUGAUCGAACCGAACUGAUUUAAAAUUUUAGUUCGGUUUUUUAUAUAUUUUGGUUCAGUUUGGUUUUUAAUUUUAGAAAUUUCGGUUAUUUCAAUUCGGUUCGAUUUUAAUUAAAAAAAAAUCGAAAAAACCGAAUCAAACCGAUUAGUAAUAAUAAUAUAUUUUUUCAAUAAUAUAGAGAAAUUAAAUCAUAUUAAAAUUAAAAUAUUUUAAUUAAAUUUUAAAAUAUUAAAAAUAAAAUGUAAAAAAUAAAAAAAUUAUUAAAAAUCGAAACUGAUCAAACCGAACCGAAUCGAACCGAAUCAUACCGGUUUGGUUCGAUUCGAUUUCUAAUCAAAAUCGGUUCGGUUCGAUUUUCAUAAAUACUAAAAUUUCGGUUUCGGUUUAUUCGAUUCGGUUCGAUUUUGAACCGAACUGACCGAAUGCUCACCCCUACUCCUGUGGUUUAUCAUAUCUCUGCAUGUAAGAGGAUCCUUCUACCCUUCCUUUGCCUCUAAGGGUAAGAGAGACCUCUUUUCUUUUUUGAAUAUAGUUUCUAUUUUCUCCCAUCCGAUUGGAUUGUAGAUAAUCCUUUUAACUAUUUUUACUCGGUUGUAUUUAAGCAUUCGAAAGAGAUCAUAUAUUUUUUAUAUGCAUAUUUGAAUCUUUGUGGGUUUUUCUCCUCUUUGCUUGUCUCUUUCAUAAUGUUCUAUUUGUAUACUUUAUUUUUAAAGUAAACUCCUUUACUUUAGAGGACAUGCCCCUUCUUUAGCAUGAAUUAUAUUUUUUGUGUCUAAUUGUUAUUUUUUUUGCGAUUGUUGGUCUAAAGAUUCUAAAUUACUCUUUGAUGAUUAUCAUUCGAUAGAGGGGGCAAGAAACAAAAUAAUAGUUGUAUCUAGCACAUGCUCGUAAACAGUUUAGAAAGCAGGAAUGAGAUGACAAAUAAUGAUACCACCUUUAUUCAUUGCCAACACAUAAUAGAUGUAGAGUUUCUAUAUGGUUCGGUACUCAAUGGUUUUCUCUUUAUCUUUCUUCGAAUAUUUUUUAUUUCUUUACUUUUUUUUAUUUUUCACAUUUAAAUUUAUCAAUAUCAACAUCUCAAUAAAUAGCUAGCUUAGUAUAGUUAGGGUUAUAUAAUUUUUUUUCAGUAGGAUAGGCUUGCUUGUAAUGGGAUUGUGUUUUACAUGUAUGAAAGAAUAAAUAUCAAAUACUUAAAUUUUUAAAAAAUUUAUUAAUUUAUUUAUAUUUUAAAAUUAUUCAAUUAAAAUAUCUUUAUAUUUUACAUAAUCAAACUCUUGUAAUUUUUAUGUUACUUUACAAGAUUUAUUUUAAAUUUGAUCAGAAAAAUUAAAUAGUAUGAAUAUUUCAAAUUAUAAAAAUUAAAUAAUACAUAUAAUUAAAAUUAUAAAAACCAACCAAAACAAUUAUUCCAGGUAGGUUGCUAAUGUUUUUUUUUUUUAACAGAAAAAAAAAUUUAUAUUUUACAAAAUAUAAAAAUAAUUUAAUGGAGUGAUUUGAAAAUAAAAACAAACUAGUUUAUUUAAUAAAAUUUCAGGGAUUACAUAAUAAUUUAGCCUAGAUGUAUUUGGGAUGGGUUUGGACCAAGCAAUAUUGUUUUUUCUUUUUAGUCAUAGCCUAUCUGAGGGCCCUCAACUAGAAAAUGAAAUUGCAUUAAUAAAAUUAAUUUGGUUGGACUCAAUUAAAUUUGAUAUAUUGGCUUGGAUUAAUUAUAAAUUCAGUUUCAGUUAUGUUUCUCAAUAUUAACUUUAAUUUGAAACUUAAUUACAAUUAAUUAAAAAGUUAAACUAUUCUAUUGGCUCCUUUCUAGAUUACCUCAGCUUGAUACGGUCUUUUGCCCAGAAAUGCAAGAAAUCUAGAAUGUUUACUUCUAGAUGAUGUGCAAGUCCAUUAGUUCUUUUGGGUCGGAUCUAGAGAAUCCAAUCAGGAUUAAUGUUUUCUGGGUGGAAUUUACAUUUGAGUUGUCUUUUACUGGAACCAAAUCAUUGUACUUUUAGGCCAUAGUUAAUGAUAUUUCAAUCCAAAAUUUGAUACUAAAUUCACAUUGAUUUCACACAUCUCAAAAACCAUAAAGAUGACCUUGACAUAAUACUUAUUAAUAAAUUCGAUUAUUAUAUGGGCAAUCUAUUAACAGAAAAUGGACAUUAAACUGAAAAGCAUCGAACAGAAGUAAUACAAAUACCAUAUGCAUUGCAUUUUGUGCUCAAGCAGACACUUGAAAGCUAAUGAUCUGGAUUAGGAAUACUAUUACUUCAUACAUGCUUCCAUUCAGUCAUCAAGCAAACUGGCUUUGUUAAUGGUACCUCAAAUCAUCAAUGUCAUGCCCUUUGAGAGCAAAAUGGAGCACUGAAAUCAAUGGCAUUCAGAUAUAUAAAUAGCAGUAAAUAAUUUAAUAAGGAAAGCUCCAAACAGGUUCAGUAAUAAUUGAAGCAACAAAACUACAGUCACCAACAAAAACCAACAGAGUAAUCCAACUCAAAAAUUUCAAACACUAGGAGAAAAAGUUGUGAUGUUUAUUUAUCCUCUCCCAUGCUUAGCUAAACUCAAGCCUUAACCCGCCCAUAGAACUUUGCCUUCUCCUGUGUUGUCUGGAAUCUACCAUGGCCAAACUUGGAGGAUGUAUCAAUGAACUUGAGCUUAAUCUCCUCCAAAGCAACCCUAGAUGUCUGGUUCAACAAUGAUUGUCUCAAG